rnacentral:rRNA from 1 species
GUAGGGAAUAUUGCACAAUGGGGGAAACCCUGAUGCAGCAACGCCGCGUGUGUGAUGAAGGCUCUCGGGUCGUAAAGCACUGUCGCAGGGGAAUAUGAUGAAGGUACCUUGCAAGAAAGCACCGGCUAACUUCGUGCCAGCAGCCGCGGUAAUACGAGGGGUGCUAGCGUUGUUCGGAAUCAUUGGGCGUAAAGCGCAUGCAGGCGGCUUAGACAGUCAGAUGUGAAAUCCCUGGGCUCAACCCAGGACGUGCAUUUGAUACUUCUAAGCUUGAAUGUCAAAGAGGUUCGUGGAAUUCCAGGUGUAGCGGUGAAAUGCGUAGAUAUCUGGAGGAACAUCGGUGGGGAAGCCGGCGGACUGGUUGAACAUUGACGCUCAGAUGCGAAAGCGUGGGGAGCAAACAGG